rnacentral:rRNA from 1 species
GAUGAACGCUAGCGGCAGGCCUAACGCAUGCAAGUCGAGGGGCAGCACAGAAACAGCAAUGUUUUGGUGGCGACCGGCGGACGGGUGCGUAACGCGUAUGCAACCUACCUUUAACAGGGGGAUAACGGAGAGAAAUUUCCACUAAUACCCCAUAACAUCGAUGAAGGCAUCUUGAUUGGUUGAAAACUCGGUGGUGUACAGAUGGUCAUGAGUUGUAUUAGGUAGUUGGUGAGGUAAUGGCGCACCAAGCCUACGAUACAUAGGGGGACUGAGAGGGUAGCCCCACACACUGGUACUGAGAGACGGACCAGACUCCUACGGGAGGCAGGAGUGAGGAAUAUUGGUCAAUGGGGGCAACCCUGAACCAGCCAUGCCGCGUGCAGGAAGACGGCUCUAUGAGUUGUAAACUGCUUUUAAACAGGGAUAAAGCACAGUAUGUAUACUGUGUUGAAGGUACUGUAAGAAUAAGGAUCGGCUAACUCCGUGCCAGCCGCCGCAGUAA